GCGUCAGGAACCUACCAGAACAGAAGGGCACCAGACAGGAAUGCAAAGCAAAACAGCACGGUCUCUUAGGUGCCCCCCCCUCUCAUCUAGGUCCUGGGGGCUUGGCGAGGAUUGAGGGUUGCUAUGGGGAUGGGCCAGGGUGGAAUCAGGUGGGGACAGAGCAGACACGCAACCAAGGGAAGAAAGAAAAGGGAGAAUUUGUUUCUUGAGUUAGACUUGAAAUAAGGAUGCUUUUGCUAAAGGGCACACGCGCGCACACACACACACACACACACACACACACACACACACACACACACACACAAGCGUGCAUGAAGGCACCUCACUCCCUUACCUCUGCCCACUCCCCAAUCUUCCAAGCAUGUUGAUGUUGGGCUUGGCUCUCCACCUCCUACACCUUCCUGCCCUAGAUUUGGUCAGGGGUCUACAGCUCAGAGGGCUUAGGCAGGAGGCACCAAGAGGAUUCUGGGGAGAGUCCAAAGGAGAAAGUCUUGGCCUCUUCUCAGAGAAUCCAGAGGUCUGUGUGGAAGAGGCACUUGUGUUGGACCCAGGAGACAAGCUAUCACUCAGAAGAAGAAAAGGAAGACCAGCCUGAGAGAUAGCAGCCUGAGCAGGAGGAAAAAAAAAAGCUUCCCUUCUGGUCACGUUCCUGGUCCUCAUUCAAAGUCUUCACUCAACAAGAAGGCGGAGAGGGCUGAGUCCAUUAAGAAGAGGAAAGCAAUCCAGCACUCAGAGCUGGCCCACCCCCAGAUGCAGACCCUGGCCAUGGCUUGUCAUGAAGUCAUGAAGAGAUGAUCACCUUCUGACAAACACAUCAGCACUCCCUCUGGGCAGUGCACUCAGAAUAAAAGAAUACAGCCAUGUGCCCUCUUCCCAUGGACAGCCUUCCACAGUGGCUACAGCAAGAGAGUGGGCAUAGCUCCCUGGAUGGCCCCCAGGCUCACAAAAUACCACGCCCCACAGUCAGCCCCGUGCUCAAGAAGAAAACUGUGAAGUAGGCAUGC